rnacentral:rRNA from 1 species
UCCCUACGGGGGGCAGCAGUGAGGAAUAUUGGUCAAUGGGCGCGAGCCUGAACCAGCCAAGUCGCGUGAGGGAUGACGGUCCUACGGAUUGUAAACCUCUUUUGCCGGGGAGCAAGCCUGAGCACGUGUGCCCAGGCGGAGAGUACCCGGAGAAAAAGCAUCGGCUAACUCCGUGCCAGCAGCCGCGGUAAUACGGAGGAUGCGAGCGUUAUCCGGAUUUAUUGGGUUUAAAGGGUGCGCAGGCGGGCUGUUAAGCCGGCGGUAAAAAUUCAGGGCUCAACCCUGUCGAGCACGCGGA